UCUUGCCACUACUCGAAAUCAACGGUAGAAUCGACGACACGACCUGCCACUCGACUAUUAAAACUGUAUCGCAAAUUUAACUACCCCUCAGUAACUGGUAAUGUCAAAACGAAAUCGCUUGAAAAAAUGUUGGAACUGGCAACACAAGUUGGUAAAUUAUUGAUUUUGAAAAACAGUUACCAGUAGCCUUGGUAACUACAUAAGAAAUGUAAACAAAAACAAGAGAUUCUCACUUAAAACGAAACCACUGAGUGUAGUUGGCCCGCUGGCAGAACAUUUUCGUCGCUGCCACAGAGAGGAAGGCUUUCAUCAUUUCAUAUUCAUAGCUAGAAAGUUGUAUUGUCGGGUGGUAGUGAAUGAUUUGCCUAUGGGUACAUUUACAGCGCGCAACUGUGUUUGGAACUCAAAAUAAUGCGAAUUAGGAACAUAAAAAAAUUGUUUUAUGCAACUAUUGUAAACAAUGUUUUUUAUUGAAAACAGUUUACUCGUAGUAAAAGGACAUACAAACGAAAAUAAAAAUAACAUGAUAUUGAAAGAA